GGGUUCUCAGGGUUUUGGUGAUCUCCUUGGCUGCAUUAGGGACAAAAACAUCCCUCUUCAAAACAUUCAUUUUGUGACUUUCCGUAACAAUCUUAACAAGAUAUUGGCUACUGCUUACAUUCGUCAUGAGCCAUGGGAAAUGGGUGUGCAUAAAAGAAAUGGUGUUGUAUACCUAGAUGUGCAUAAAUUACCAGAAAGACCGCAAAGCGAGUUGGAGCGUAGAAGGUGCUAUUGGGGUUACUGUUUUGAGACCCUUGCUACCGAGGAUCCAAGAAGAGGUGAUGGAGAAGGAAUCCAUCACGUAGAUGCAAAUGCUGAAUAUUGUGCUGUGAUUAAAACGAAAUUAGGUGCUCAUCGCAUUCUGAUGGGUGCUGAAAUGGAUUGCUGUGAUUCAACUGAUGAGGGAAGGAGGUUUUAUGUUGAACUAAAGACAAGUCGCGAGUUGGAUCAGCGUACUGAAGAAAGAUAUGAGAAAGAGAAAUUGCUUAAAUUUUGGAUACAAUCAUUCUUAGCUGGUGUACCAUAUAUAGUUAUUGGGUUCAGGAAUGAUGCUGGUCAACUUGUUCGGACAGAAAGAUUGAGAACUAAGGACAUCACACAGAGAGUGAAAAUGAAGAACUAUUGGCAGGGAGGAGUCUG
rnacentral:misc_RNA from 1 species